CGAAAAGUACGUCUCAGUUCGGAUUGGAGUCUGCAACUCGACUCCAUGAAGCUGGAUUCGCUAGUAAUCGCGCAUCAGCCAUGGCGCGGUGAAUACGUUCCCGGGCCUUGUACACACCGCCCGUCAAGCCAUGGAAGCCGGAGGUGCCUGAAGUGCGUGACCGCAAGGAGCGCCCUAAGGUAAAACCGGUGACUGGGGCUAAGUCGUAACAAGGUAUC
rnacentral:rRNA from 1 species